UACGGGGGGGGCAAGCGUUGUUCGGAAUUACUGGGCGUAAAGGGCUCGUAGGCGGCCAACUAAGUCAGACGUGAAAUCCCUCGGCUUAACCGGGGAACUGCGUCUGAUACUGGAUGGCUUGAGUUCGGGAGAGGGAUGCGGAAUUCCAGGUGUAGCGGUGAAAUGCGUAGAUAUCAGGAGGAACACCUGCGGUGUAGACAGCAUGCUGGGCCAUUUCUGACGCUGAGGCACGAAAGCGUGGGUAGCAAACAGG
rnacentral:rRNA from 1 species